AAGCUGGCGUCUUCGGCGUCCGCGUUGUAAUCUCGAGACGUGUUUUCCGUGCGGCUCUAUGGACAAGUCCCUUGGAACAGGGCAUCGUAGAGGGUGAAAAUCCCGUACUUGCCAUGGAAGUACCGUGCUUUGUGAUACACGUUCCAAGAGUCGAGUAGUUUGGGAUUGCUGCUCAAAGUGGGUGGUAGACUCCAUCUAAAGCUAAAUAUCGGGGAGAGACCGAUAGCGAACAAGUACCGUGAGGGAAAGAUGAAAAGCACUUUGGAAAGAGAGUUAAAAGUACGUGAAAUUGUCGAAAGGGAAGCACUUGAAGUCAGCCAUGCUGCUUGAGACUCAGCCUGGCUUUUGCUUGGUGUAUUUCUCGGUAGCAAGCCAGCAUUGGUUUGUGUCGUCGGAGAAGCGUAUGGGGAAUGUGGCAUCCUCGGAUGUGUUAUAGCCCUGUGCUGGAUACGACGACGCAGACCAAGGAACGCAGUGUGCCCUCU
rnacentral:rRNA from 1 species